AUGUUGGCCCUUGUUCUGCUCAUACUGCUGAGCCGCGACGGGCAAGUGGCCUCGUCGCUGGACGAUGGCCAGUUCGCCUACCAAGGUUUCGUCGGUGUUAACCUCACGCUGGACGGCAUGGCCACCGUCAUGCCCAACGGCCUCCUCGGGCUCACCAACUCCACGCAGCAGACGAAAGCCCACGCGUUCCACUCCACCCCACUCCACUUCCUCCACAAGCCGACGCCGCCGACGAACACCACCGCCGUGCCGCGCUCCUUCUCCACGUCCUUCGUGUUCGCCAUCGUGUCAAGAUACGAUGGCGUCAGCGACCACGGGCUCGCCUUCGUCGUCUCCCCGACCACAAAUUUCACGGCAGCAAACGGCGGGCAAUACCUGGGCCUCCUCAACGCGACAAACGGCCCGGUGAGCAGCCCCAUCUUGGCGGUGGAGCUUGACACCAUCCUGAGCCCCGAGUUCCGCGACAUCAACAGCAACCACGUCGGCAUCGACGUCAAUAGCCUCAUCUCGCAGCAGGCCCAGCCGGCUGGCUACAACGACGAUGACCACGGCGGCGCCUUCCGAGACCUGAAGCUAGAUAGCGGCAAGCCCAUGCAGGUGUGGGUGGACUACGACGGCCAGUCCAAGCAACUCAAGGUGACUUUGGCUCCCGUGCAAGUGCCCAAGCCUAGGAAUCCUCUCCUCUCCCAAGCCAUCGAUCUCUCCACGCUCAUGCCAGAUGCGAUGUACGUCGGCUUCUCGACGUCGAUAUAUGCCGGCUUCUCGUCGUCGUCGGGAGUUGUCCUGGCACACCACUACGUGCUCGGAUGGAGCUUCAGCUUGGACGGACCUGCCCCGCCGCUUGACUUGUCCAAGCUUCCUGCCUUGCCACGCGUGGGAGCCAAGCCUCGGUCCAAGGUCCUGGAUGUUGUGUUGCCGCUCACCACCGCGUUGCUCGUGGCUGCAGUGCUAGCUGUGGUCUUCUUCUCUGUGUGGAGUCGGCGCCGGUUUGCCGAGGUACGCGAAGACUGGGAAGACGAGUUUGGUCCCCAUCGUUUUGCGUACAAGGACCUGCAUCGUGCCACGGAUGGGUUCACGGAGCGGAAUUUACUUGGCGUCGGAGGAUUUGGGAGGGUAUAUAAAGGGGUGCUUUCUGCAUCCAAUUCGGAGAUCGCGGUGAAGAGGGUGUCACAUGAUUCAAGGCAAGGAAUACGGGAGUUCAUAGCUGAGGUGGUGAGCAUUGGCCGUCUUCGACACCGGAAUCUUGCGCAGCUGCUGGGCUACUGCCGGCGCAAGGACCAGCUUCUCUUGGUUUAUGACUACAUGCCAAAUGGCAGUCUUGACAAGUAUUUGCACCAUCCACGUAUGCCAGCAAUAUUCUGGCCCCAAAGGUACUGGAUCAUCAAAGGUGUUGCAUCAGGCCUAUUGUAUCUUCACGAGGAUUGGGAAAAAGUUGUGAUUCAUAGGGAUAUAAAGGCAAGCAAUGUGCUCUUGGAUGAACAAUUGAAUGGGUGUCUGGGAGAUUUUGGCCUAGCAAAAUUAUAUGACCAUGGAACUGAUGCUCAAACAACCCAUGUUGUUGGCACCAGGGGAUACCUCGCACCAGAGCUUGUGCGCACCGGGAAGGCAACGCCCUUAACCGAUGUAUUCGCAUUCGGUAUGUUCCUUCUAGAGGUUGCAUGUGGACGAAGGCCAAUCCAGCAUGACGAGCACAACUCAGUGGUGUUGGUUGAUUGGGUGCGUGAGUGCUGCCGCAAUGGAUCGAUCCUCGAGGUGAUGGAUCCGCGACUGACAGGAAAGUUUGACAUAGAGGAGAUUACCCUCGUACUGCAACUUGGGUUGUUGUGCUCGCACCCAUUACCUAAUGCGAGACCUAGCAUGCGGAAGGUCAUGCAAUGUCUAGACUGCGGUAAAUGCGUCCCGGACUUGUCGUCGACUUUCGCGCUAAUGCAAACCGAAGGCUCCGAUCUGCACGUCAUGUCGUUCUCUCUGUCGGAGACUAGCACUAGUGUUGUGUCUUGUGGGUCUUCAGUGACGGUUCUAGCUGAGGGCAGAUGA
rnacentral:rRNA from 1 species